GACGAACGCUGGCGGCGUGCUUAACACAUGCAAGUCGAACGGAAAGGCCCUGCUUUUGUGGGGUGCUCGAGUGGCGAACGGGUGAGUAACACGUGAGUAACCUGCCCUUGACUUUGGGAUAACUUCAGGAAACUGGGGCUAAUACCGGAUAGGAGCUCCUGCUGCAUGGUGGGGGUUGGAAAGUUUCGGCGGUUGGGGAUGGACUCGCGGCUUAUCAGCUUGUUGGUGGGGUAGUGGCUUACCAAGGCUUUGACGGGUAGCCGGCCUGAGAGGGUGACCGGAAGCAGUGAGAUUGAGAGAAAGCUCAGACUCAGGAGGGAGCGAAGCAGUGGAAAUGUUGCAGAGAUGGCAGAAACCGAAUGCAGAAAGGGCAUGUGCGUGAUUAAGGCCAUCAGGUUGAGAACCGGUAUGGCCAGGGACGAAGGGUGAGUGACGGUAGUUGGUAUAGAAACACCGACUAACUUCGUA
rnacentral:rRNA from 1 species